UGGGGAAUAUUGCACAAUGGGCGCAAGCCUGAUGCAGCCAUGCCGCGUGUAUGAAGAAGGCCUUCGGGUUGUAAAGUACUUUCAGCGGGGAGGAAGGGAGUAAAGUUAAUACCUUUGCUCAUUGACGUUACCCGCAGAAGAAGCACCGGCUAACUCCGUGCCAGCAGCCGCGGUAAUACGGAGGGUGCAAGCGUUAAUCGGAAUUACUGGGCGUAAAGCGCACGCAGGCGGUUUGUUAAGUCAGAUGUGAAAUCCCCGGGCUCAACCUGGGAACGGCAUUCGAUACUGGGAAGCUUGAGUCUCGUAGAGGGGGGUAGAAUUCCAGGUGUAGCGGUGAAAUGCGUAGAGAUCUGGAGGAAUACCGGUGGCGAAGGCGGCCCCCUGGACGAAGACUGACGCUCAGGUGCGAAAGCGUGGGGAGCAAACAGG
rnacentral:rRNA from 1 species